CCCGCUGAACUUAAGCAUAUCAAUAAGCGGAGGAAAAGAAACUAACAAGGAUUCCCUUAGUAACUGCGAGUGAAGUGGGAAAAGCUCAAAUUUAAAAUCUGGCAGUGAUUUGCUGUCCGAGUUGUAACCUAGAGAAGUGUAACCGUCACUGGACCAUGUAUAAGUCUCCUGGGAUGGAGCGUCAUAGAGGGUGAGAAUCCCGUGUAUGACAUGGACUACCAGUGGAUUGUGGUGUGCUCUCAAAGAGUUGAGUUGUUUGGGAAUGCAGCUCUAAAAGGGUGGUAAAUUCCAUCUAAAGCUAAAUAUUGGCGAGAGACCGAUAGCGAACAAGUACCGUGAGGGAAAGAUGAAAAGCACUUUGGAAAGAGAGUUAAACAGUACGUGAAAUUGUUGAAAGGGAAACGCUUGAAGUCAGUCGCGUCGUCCGGGACUCAGCCUAGCUUCUUUGCUCGGUGUACUUCCCGUUCGACGGGUCAACGUCGAUUUUGACCGGCGGAUAAUGGCUUGGGGAACGUGGCACCUUCGGGUGUGUUAUAGCCCCUGGUCGCAUACGUCGGUCGGGAUCGAGGACCGCAGCGCGCCUUUUAGGCCGGGGGUUCGCCCCACGUAACGCGCUUAGGAUGUUGGCAUAAUGGCUUUAAGCGACCCGUCUUGAAACACGG
rnacentral:rRNA from 1 species